GACGAACGCUGGCGGCAUGCCUAAUACAUGCAAGUCGAACGCACGAAGUUGAAAAGCUUGCUUUUCGACCAAGUGAGUGGCGGACGGGUGAGUAACACGUGGGUAACCUGCCCAUAAGAGGGGGAUAACAUUCGGAAACGGAUGCUAAUACCGCAUAUUUCAAGUGACCGCAUGGUCGCUUGAUGAAAGGUGGCUUCGGCUACCACUUAUGGAUGGACCCGCGGUGCAUUAGUUAGUUGGUGAGGUAAUGGCUCACCAAGACCAUGAUGCAUAGCCGACCUGAGAGGGUGAUCGGCCACACUGGGACUGAGACACGGCCCAGACUCCUACGGGAGGCAGCAGUAGGGAAUCUUCCGCAAUGGACGAAAGUCUGACGGAGCAAUGCCGCGUGAGUGAAGAAGGUUUUCGGAUCGUAAAAC
rnacentral:rRNA from 1 species